rnacentral:rRNA from 1 species
AGACCCGAAACCCGGUGAUCUAGCCAUGGGCAGGUUGAAGGUUGGGUAACACUAACUGGAGGACCGAACCGACUAAUGUUGAAAAAUUAGCGGAUGACCUGUGGCUGGGGGUGAAAGGCCAAUCAAACCGGGAGAUAGCUGGUUCUCCCCGAAAGCUAUUUAGGUAGCGCCUCGUGAAUUCAUCUCCGGGGGUAGAGCACUGUUUCGGCUAGGGGGCCAUCCCGGCUUACCAACCCGAUGCAAACUGCGAAUACCGGAGAAUGUUAUCACGGGAGACACACGGCGGGUGCUAACGUCCGUCGUGAAGAGGGAAACAACCCAGACCGCCAGCUAAGGUCCCAAAGUCAUGGUUAAGUGGGAAACGAUGUGGGAAGGCCCAGACAGCCAGGAUGUUGGCUUAGAAGCAGCCAUCAUUUAAAGAAAGCGUAAUAGCUCACUGGUCGAGUCGGCCUGCGCGGAAGAUGUAACGGGGCUAAACCAUGCACCGAAGCUGCGGCAGCGAACGUAUCACUUAAAGCGAUUCAGCGGGUUACGAUUGACGGAGCGAAGCGACGUCAAAGCGUAUACAAAGUCGAGUCGGUUUAAGGAUACGUUCGUUGGGUAGGGGAGCGUUCUGUAAGCCUGUGAAGGUGGCCUGUGAGGGUUGCUGGAGGUAUCAGAAGUGCGAAUGCUGACAUAAGUAACGAUAAAGCGGGUGAAAAGCCCGCUCGCCGGAAGACCAAGGGU